CCAUUCCUCUUCACCAGCUUUGCAGCCCCUUCGUGCCACUGGAGCAGUGCACAGGGACUGUCGUGUGCCCAAGCAAGUGGCCCUGCAUGCUCAGAGGAACACAUUUUUAACGAUGACUUGAAUAAAAUUGCUAGUCUGGUUGAAAACAUGGCUAUUAAGUGAGGAAUGAAGGGAAGAUGUGCAUCUCCCAUGGGCACGUCAGCCCAGGACGUUUCCUACAGAGGCGUUAGCCGUGAUUUACAAACUGAGACGGGAAAGAUAAGGUUUCAUGAAAAACGUUGCUGCUCUGCUGAGCUGUACCUGCCAGGGACAUGCUGAGGCUACUGUUAAUUAAAAACACAGAGCUGAAUGAUAGCCAUGGCUCGACCUGCCCGAGGAACAAAUGGCAGUUGAUCAUCAAGGAUCAUUCGUCCCAUGCCCGCUGUGGAUUCAAUAGGGUACAACACCUGGUGAUGGUCAGCCGCUGCCACCAUUUUUAAUUGGAUUUGCCUUGCUUUAUUUAUGUAUUUGCUAACGACUCCUGCUUUUGCCUCCCCGAGCAAUCCCCGCCUUUGUGUGAGUGCAGGGGGGGAACCUAGGAAUGCCGUAGUCGCAGGGACCUCCUGCAGCAGAGGCUGCAGUGACGUUGUCAUGGCAACCGCUCCUGCAGCUGCCAACGUUGUCAUGUAACUGAAUGGGAAAUGUCACUGCGGGGUGUGAGGGAACCUGCUUUCUGUGCUUGGCACACUGAUAUAGCUGCCGCUGCUUCUCUGGAAUCCCAGCUCUGUCCGUACACGUCUGCAAACCCCGGCUGCAUCGGGAAAGCUGCAGCUAUUCCCACCUACCAGAAUCUGUUUGCAUGGUAUCUCGAUGGGUGGAAGUUAUCCAGAGACACGUGCUGUAGGUCAGUAAUAAUCCGUACUCCCAAAUGCUGCAUUCUUUGCCUGCCAUUAAAAGCUCCAUUGGGGUCGUGAACUUUGCUGGCAAGAAUGAGAACAUAGGCAUGUUUCAGAUUUACUAUGGCUUGAUUU
ensembl:lncRNA